rnacentral:rRNA from 1 species
AUCGAACGCUGGCGGCAGGCUUAACACAUGCAAGUCGAACGAGUGGCGGACGGGUGAGUAAUGCUUGGGAAUCUAGCUUCUGGAGGGGGAUAACUACGGGCAACUGUAGCCAAUACCGCGUACCAUAGGAUGAGCCCAAGUGGGAUUAGGUAGUUGGUGAGGUAAAGGCUAACCAAGCCGACGAUCUCUAGCUGGUCUGAGAGGAUGACCGGCCAACCGGGGAUUGGUACACGGCCCAGACUCCUACGGAGGGCAGAAGUGGGGAAUAUUGCGCAAUGGGGGCAACCUGACGCAGCCAUGCCGCGUGAAUGAAGAGGGCCUUCGGGUUGUAAACUUCUUUGGGUAGCGAGGCGUUAACUACAGAGGAAGGAACGGCUAACUCCGUGCCAGCAGCCGCGGUAAUAC